UACGGGGGAUGCAAGCGUUAUCCGGAAUCAUUGGGCGUAAAGCGCCUGUAGGUUGUUUAUUAAGUCUGUUGUUAAAGACUAGGGCUUAACCCUAGGAAAGCAAUGGAAACUAGUAGACUAGAGUAUGGCAGGGGUAGAGGGAAUUUCUAGUGUAGCGGUGAAAUGCGUAGAUAUUAGAAAGAACACCGGUGGCGAAAGCGCUCUACUGGACCAUUACUGACACUCAGAGGCGAAAGCUAGGGUAGCAAAAGGGAUUAGAUACCCCUGUAGUCCUAGCCGUAAACGAUGGAUACUAGAUGUUGUGCAUAAGGCACAGUAUCCUAGCUAACGCGUUAAGUAUCCCGCCUGGGGAGUACGCUCGCAAGGGUG
rnacentral:rRNA from 1 species